rnacentral:rRNA from 1 species
UACGUAGGGUGCAAGCGUUGUCCGGAAUUAUUGGGCGUAAAGAGCUCGUAGGCGGUUUGUCGCGUCUGCCGUGAAAGUCCGGGGCUCAACUCCGGAUCUGCGGUGGGUACGGGCAGACUAGAGUGAUGUAGGGGGAGACUGGAAUUCCUGGUGUAGCGGUGAAAUGCGCAGAUAUCAGGAGGAACACCGAUGGCGAAGGCAGGUCUCUGGGCAUUAACUGACGCUGAGGAGCGAAAGCGUGGGGAGCAAACAGG